CGGACUACCCGGGUUUCUAAUCCUGUUUGCUCCCCACGCUUUCGUGCCUCAGCGUCAAUUAUCGUGUAGUAAGCUGCCUACGCAAUUGGUGUUCUAUGUCAUAUCUAAGCAUUUCACCGCUACAUGACAUAUUCCGCUUACCUCCACGACAUUCAAGAUCUAUAGUAUCCACGGCAGUUUCCGAGUUAAGCUCGGAGAUUUCACCACGGACUUACAAACCCGCCUACGCACCCUUUAAACCCAGUGAAUCCGGAUAACGCUUGCACCCUCCGUAUUACCGCGGCGGCUGGCACCC
rnacentral:misc_RNA from 1 species